ACGAAGAGUUUGAUCCUGGCUCAGGAUGAACGCUAGCGACAGGCUUAACACAUGCAAGUCGAGGGGCAGCGGGGGUAGCAAUACCCGCCGGCGACCGGCGCACGGGUGAGUAACGCGUAUGCAACUUACCUAUCAGAGGGGGAUAACCCGGCGAAAGUCGGACUAAUACCGCAUGAAGCAGGGGCCCCGCAUGGGGAUAUUUGCUAAAGAUUCAUCGCUGAUAGAUAGGCAUGCGUUCCAUUAGGCAGUUGGCGGGGUAACGGCCCACCAAACCGACGAUGGAUAGGGGUUCUGAGAGGAAGGUCCCCCACAUUGGUACUGAGACACGGACCAAACUCCUACGGGAGGCAGCAGUGAGGAAUAUUGGUCAAUGGGCGUAAGCCUGAACCAGCCAAGUCGCGUGAGGGAUGAAGGUUCUAUGGAUCGUAAACCUCUUUUAUAAGGGAAUAAAGUGCGGGACGUGUCCCGUUUUGUAUGUACCUUAUGAAUAAGGAUCGGCUAACUCCGUGCCAGCAGCCGCGGUAAUACGGAGGAUCCGAGCGUUAUCCGGAUUUAUUGGGUUUAAAGGGUGCGUAGGCGGCCUUUUAAGUCAGCGGUGAAAGUCUGUGGCUCAACCAUAGAAUUGCCGUUGAAACUGGGGGGCUUGAGUAUGUUUGAGGCAGGCGGAAUGCGUGGUGUAGCGGUGAAAUGCAUAGAUAUCACGCAGAACCCCGAUUGCGAAGGCAGCCUGCCAAGCCAUUACUGACGCUGAUGCACGAAAGCGUGGGGAUCAAACAGGAUUAGAUACCCUGGUAGUCCACGCAGUAAACGAUGAUCACUAGCUGUUUGCGAUACACUGUAAGCGGCACAGCGAAAGCGUUAAGUGAUCCACCUGGGGAGUACGCCGGCAACGGUGAAACUCAAAGGAAUUGACGGGGGCCCGCACAAGCGGAGGAACAUGUGGUUUAAUUCGAUGAUACGCGAGGAACCUUACCCGGGUUUGAACGCAUUCGGACCGAGGUGGAAACACCUUUUCUAGCAAUAGCCGUUUGCGAGGUGCUGCAUGGUUGUCGUCAGCUCGUGCCGUGAGGUGUCGGCUUAAGUGCCAUAACGAGCGCAACCCUUGCCACUAGUUACUAACAGGUAAAGCUGAGGACUCUGGUGGGACUGCCAGCGUAAGCUGCGAGGAAGGCGGGGAUGACGUCAAAUCAGCACGGCCCUUACAUCCGGGGCGACACACGUGUUACAAUGGCGUGGACAAAGGGAGGCCACCUGGCGACAGGGAGCGAAUCCCCAAACCACGUCUCAGUUCGGAUCGGAGUCUGCAACCCGACUCCGUGAAGCUGGAUUCGCUAGUAAUCGCGCAUCAGCCAUGGCGCGGUGAAUACGUUCCCGGGCCUUGUACACACCGCCCGUCAAGCCAUGGGAGCCGGGGGUACCUGAAGUCCGUAACCGAAAGGAUCGGCCUAGGGUAAAACUGGUGACUGGGGCUAAGUCGUAACAAGGUAGCCGUACCGGAAGGUGCGGCUGGAACACCUCCUUU
rnacentral:rRNA from 1 species